rfam:Glycine max cultivar Williams 82 chromosome 5, whole genome shotgun sequence.
AGUCGAUGAUGACAAUCACAAAGGCUUGUUUCUCUAAACAUUCGCAGUGGCCGCCUAAGAGCUUUCGCCUUCGCCAGGCUUGAGAGCUUAUGCUGUUAUUAUCCUUCCUUGGAUGUCUGAGAUU